CGAAAUAGAGCUUUAAAGUGAAGUGUCUCAGUUACAUUGAGGGUAGUUCUGUGCAAUUCAGAAUAUUUUGA
rnacentral:tRNA from 1 species